UACGGGGGGGGGCGAGCGUUUGUUCGGAAUUACUGGGCGUAAAGGGUUUGUAGGUGGCCUGCUAAGUCAGACGUGAAAUCCCUCGGCUUAACCGGGGAACUGCGUCUGAUACUGGAUGGCUUGAGUGUGGGAGAGGGAUGCGGAAUUCCGAGGUGUAGCGGUGAAAUGCGUAGAUAUCUGGAGGAACACCGGUGGCGAAGGCGGCAUCCUGGACCAUUACUGACACUGAAAAGCGAAAGCCAGGGGAGCAAACGGG
rnacentral:rRNA from 1 species